AUAAAAAUUCCUGGUGGAAAUUAAAUAAAUCAUAAAUUGCAAAACACAUGCCAUAUAAGGACAGGCAGUACCUCCUUCGUGCUGGGGAUAGGGGCUUGUAAUUGUUUCCCUUGAACAAAGAAUUUCCCGUAAGCAUGAGUCAUAAGUUCAUGUUGAUUACAUC
rnacentral:rRNA from 1 species